AUCGAACGCUGGCGGAAUGCUUUACACAUGCAAGUCGAACGGCAGCACGGACUUCGGUCUGGUGGCGAGUGGCGAACGGGUGAGUAAUAUAUCGGAACGUGCCCAGUCGUGGGGGAUAACGUAGCGAAAGUUACGCUAAUACCGCAUACGAUCUACGGAUGAAAGCGGGGGAUCGCAAGACCUCGCGCGAUUGGAGCGGCCGAUAUCAGAUUAGGUAGUUGGUGGGGUAAAGGCUCACCAAGCCAACGAUCUGUAGCUGGUCUGAGAGGACGACCAGCCACACUGAAACUGAGACACGGUCCAGACUCCUACGGGAGGCAGCAGUGGGGAAUUUUGGACAAUGGACGCAAGUCUGAUCCAGCCAUUCCGCGUGCAGGAUGAAGGCACUCGGGUUGUAAACUGCUUUUGUACAGAACGAAAAGGCUCUUCCUAAUACGGAGGGCUCAUGACGGUACUGUAAGAAUAAGCACCGGCUAACUACGUGCCAGCCGCCGCAGUAA
rnacentral:rRNA from 1 species